AACCUAGCACACCUGCGGUGUGUACCUGCGGAGGGAUCAUUGCAGAAACAAAUAUAUACCCAAGGGGGAAGAGUUAGCGCUCUUUUUCCUGGGCAAACAACCAACACACAUGACUAGGAAAAGCAAACAGAGAUUGUGGAGGAAUUGGCUUGGUCGGCUUGGCUUGGCUUGGGUCCUCGCACAGCACACAAGAAGCUCUUGUCUGAUAAAGUAGCUUGCUGAUUUGGAGUUACUACAAUA
rnacentral:misc_RNA from 1 species